GAGCGCGGGAGCGAGUGGAUCCCUUCGGGGUGAAGCUCGUGGAACGAGCGGCGGACGGGUGAGUAACACGUGGGCAACCUGCCUGUAAGAUCGGAAUAACCCCGGGAAACCGGGGCUAAUGCCGGGUAAUACUUUCUUUCGCAUGAAGGAAAGUUGAAAGAUGGCUUCUYGCUAUCACUUACAGAUGGGCCCGCGGCGCAUUAGCUAGUUGGUGAGGUAACGGCUCACCAAGGCGACGAUGCGUAGCCGACCUGAGAGGGUGAUCGGCCACACUGGGACUGAGACACGGCCCAGACUCCUACGGGAGGCAGCAGUAGGGAAUCUUCCGCAAUGGACGAAAGUCUGACGGAGCAACGCCGCGUGAACGAUGAAGGUCUUCGGAUCGUAAAGUUCUGUUGUUAGGGAAGAACAAGUACCGUGCGAAUAGAGCGGUACCUUGACGGUACCUAACGAGGAAGCCCCGGCUAACUACGUGCCAGCAGCCGCGGUAAUACGUAGGGGGCAAGCGUUGUCCGGAAUUAUUGGGCGUAAAGCGCGCGCAGGCGGUUCCUUAAGUCUGAUGUGAAAGCCCACGGCUCAACCGUGGAGGGUCAUUGGAAACUGGGGAACUUGAGGACAGAAGAGGAGAGUGGAAUUCCACGUGUAGCGGUGAAAUGCGUAGAUAUGUGGAGGAACACCAGUGGCGAAGGCGACUCUCUGGUCUGUUUCUGACGCUGAGGUGCGAAAGCGUGGGUAGCAACAGGAUUAGAUACCCUGGUAGUCCACGCCGUAACGAUGAGUGCUAGUGUAGGGGGCUUCCACCCCUUAGUGCU
rnacentral:rRNA from 1 species